UAGAACCGCAGCUUUCGCGACAGCAAAUUGGGUACAUGAGACCGCUUUUGAAAGACACCUAAGAAGACGUAGAGAAAUACGGGCAGCAUUGCAAACUGCUGCAACACUUGUAUGCAUGCUGGCGGCGACAGUAGCUAACUUGGCGAGGAACUAUCUUCCGACCUAUUUUUCGCAAGGUUACAUUAACUUGUCGUGGAAAGAAUCCACGGAAAUAGUGCUGAGAUUCGAAGAGACGGCUUCACGCAGAUUACAUGUAUGUUGUCAAAUCUCGCCAUAAACUGCAAGCACAGGAUAAUGACGAACCAAUUUUAG